GUGACUACAAAUUUGUUUCUGCAACAUACCGCCUCUUUAAAGUCCCAAAGAGCUGUCCCAAGGAGAGGUCCCAGGUCAUUUACAAUGGCUCCAUCACCAACUCUGCAUUCAAAAUUCUAAAAGGAAGGAGAAGCGAUGGUGGUGGAUGGGGAUGCAGCAGCCAUUCUGAGGAGUUCCAGGUUUGCAGAUGACUUCAUGAUCCGCCCUGUAGAGGAAGGCGCAGCUGCAGAUGUUGGAUGUUGUCCUGCUAAACCAAAAGAAAUUAUUGUGAACCCAUUUGAGCUGGCAAAACACCUGGAACCUGCUGAUAUCAAACCAGCCACAGGAGGGUGCUGUGGACCAAAGCCUCUGGAUGCUCCCAAAUCAAGGACCAUCAUGGACCAGGAAUUCAAACCAGAGAAUUCUGUUCAGAUUACAGUGAUUGUCAA